UAUCCGGAUUUAUUGGGUUUAAAGGGUGCGUAGGCGGUUUGAUAAGUUAGAGGUGAAAUUUCGGGGCUCAACCCUGAACGUGCCUCUAAUACUGUUGAGCUAGAGAGUAGUUGCGGUAGGCGGAAUGUAUGGUGUAGCGGUGAAAUGCUUAGAGAUCAUACAGAACACCGAUUGCGAAGGCAGCUUACCAAACUAUAUCUGACGUUGAGGCACGAAAGCGUGGGGAGCAAACAGGAUUAGAUACCCUGGUAGUCCACGCAGUAAACGAUGAUAACUCGUUGUCGGCGAUACACAGUCGGUGACUAAGCGAAAGCGAUAAGUUAUCCACCUGGGGAGUACGUUCGCAAGAAUGAAACUCAAAGGAAUUGACGGGGGCCCGCACAAGCGGAGGAACAUGUGGUUUAAUUCGAUGAUACGCGAGGAACCUUACCCGGGCUUGAAAGUUAGCGACGAUUCUUGAAAGAGGAUUUCCCUUCGGGGCGCGAAACUAGGUGCUGCAUGGUUGUCGUCAGCUCGUGCCGUGAGGUGUCGGGUUAAGUCCCAUAACGAGCGCAACCCCUACCGUUAGUUGCCAUCAGGUGAAGCUGGGCACUCUGGCGGGACUGCCGGUGUAAGCCGAGAGGAAGGUGGGGAUGACGUCAAAUCAGCACGGCCCUUACGUCCGGGGCUACACACGUGUUACAAUGGUAGGUACAGAGGGCAGCUACCCAGCGAUGGGAUGCGAAUCUCGAAAGCCUAUCUCAGUUCGGAUUGGAGGCUGAAACCCGCCUCCAUGAAGUUGGAUUCGCUAGUAAUCGCGCAUCAGCCAU
rnacentral:rRNA from 1 species